rnacentral:rRNA from 1 species
CGGCGAACGGGUGAGUAACACGUGAGCAAUCUGCCCUUCUCUUUGGAAUAACCAUUGGAAACGAUGGCUAAUGCCGAAUAUGAACCCCUUUCGCAUGUUGGGGGUUGGAAAGCUCCGGCGGAGAAGGAUGAGCUCGCGGCCUAUCAGCUUGUUGGUGAGGUAAUGGCUCACCAAGGCAUUGACGGGUAGCCGGCCUGAGAGGGUGACCGGCCACACUGGGACUGAGACACGGCCCAGACUCCUACGGGAGGCAGCAGUGGGGAAUAUUGGACAAUGGGCGAAAGCCUGAUCCAGCAACGCCGCGUGAGGGAUGACGGCCUUCGGGUUGUAAACCUCUUUCAGCAGGGACGAAGCGAGAGUGACGGUACCUGCAGAAGAAGGACCGGCCAACUACGUGCCAGCAGCCGCGGUAAUACGUAGGGUCCGAGCGUUGUCCGGAAUUAUUGGGCGUAAAGGGCUCGUAGGCGGUUUGUCGCGUCGGGAGUGAAAACUCAGGGCUCAACCCUGAGCGUGCUUCCGAUACGGGCAGACUAGAGGUAUGCAGGGGAGAACGGAAUUCCUGGUGUAGCGGUGGAAUGCGCAGAUAUCAGGAGGAACACCGGUGGCGAAGGCGGUUCUCUGGGCAUUACCUGACGCUGAGGAGCGAAAGCAUGGGGAGCG